rnacentral:rRNA from 1 species
AAAUUGAAGAGUUUGAUCAUGGCUCAGAUUGAACGCUGGCGGCAGGCCUAACACAUGCAAGUCGAACGGUAACAGGAAGCAGCUUGCUGCUUUGCUGACGAGUGGCGGACGGGUGAGUAAUGUCUGGGAAACUACCUGAUGGAGGGGGAUAACUACUGGAAACGGUGGCUAAUACCGCAUAACGUCGCAAGACCAAAGAGGGGGACCUUCGGGCCUCUUGCCAUCAGAUGUGCCCAGAUGGGAUUAGCUUGUUGGUGAGGUAACGGCUCACCAAGGCGACGAUCCCUAGCUGGUCUGAGAGGAUGACCAGCCACACUGGAACUGAGACACGGUCCAGACUCCUACGGGAGGCAGCAGUGGGGAAUAUUGCACAAUGGGCGCAAGCCUGAUGCAGCCAUGCCGCGUGUAUGAAGAAGGCCUUCGGGUUGUAAAGUACUUUCAGCGGGGAGGAAGGUGUUG